rnacentral:rRNA from 1 species
CCUACGGGUGGCAGCAGUGGGGAAUAUUGCACAAUGGGGGAAACCCUGAUGCAGCGACGCCGCGUGAGUGUAGAUGCAUUUUGGUAUCUAAAGCUCUAUCAGCAGGGAAGAAGCAAGACGGUAUCUGACCAAGAAACCCCGGCUAACUACGUGCCAGCAGCUGCGGUAUUACGUAGGGGGAAAGUGUUAUCCGGAUUUACGGGGUGUAAAGGGGGCGUGGACGGUAUGGCAAGACUGAAGUGAAAGCCCAGGGCUAAACCCUGGGACUGCUUUGGAAACUGUUAGACUGGAGUGCUGGAGAGGUAAGAGGAAUGCGUGGUGUAGCGGUGAAAUGCAUAGAUAUUA